rnacentral:rRNA from 1 species
AGAGUUUGAUCAUGGCUCAGAAUCAACGCUGGCGGCGUGCCUAACACAUGCAAGUCGAACGAGAAAGUCCGCAAGGAUGAGUACAGUGGCGACCGGGUGAGUAACACGUGACUAACCUACCUCUUAGUGGGGAAUAACUCCGGGAAACCGGAGCUAAUACCGCAUAACAUCGCAAGAUCAAAGCCGAAAGGCGCUGGGAGAGGGGGUCGCGGCUGAUUAGCUAGUUGGUAGGGUAACGGCCUACCAAGGCGAAGAUCGGUAUCCGGCCUGAGAGGGCGCACGGACACACUGGAACUGAAACACGGUCCAGACUCCUACGGGGGGCAGCAGUGGGGAAUUUUGCGCAAUGGGGGAAACCCUGACGCAGCAACGCCGCGUGGAGGAUGAAGUCCCUUGGGAUGUAAACUCCUUUCGACCCGGACGAUACUGACGGUACGGGUGGAAGAAGCACCGGCUAACUCUGUGCCAGCAGCCGCGGUAAUUC